AAUAGAUAGUCUAUCAAAAGAAACUAGCUUUAGGACAUGGAGAAUAUGUUUCUUGUUAGGACAUAAAGGAUAGUACGUGCGGCCGUGUGAUCGAAGAAAGAAAGAGAGGAGGCCGUGUGAGACAAACCAACCUUGCCUGCCUGCAAAAUUCACUUAUCAGUUCCCACCCUCUGAUGAAGGACCAAGCAAGAAGACACUGUAAGCAUGAGAAAGAGAAAGAUGGCUUCUGAAAUAGGAUGCUGUAGUAGCAAGUUCAUGUCAUAUGUGGUGAUAAUAAUAAUAGAAUUGGUGGCUUUAAUUUGGUGGCCUCUUGGCUGGCUUAACUCUUGCUCUCAUGUCCCUGGGCCUUGUCGACCUUCAAGUCCCCAUCAAGUUUGGCCUUCCUCAAGAUCACAUCCACGCCGGUACUCUCCCUCGUAUUAGUGUUUGGAGAGAUAUUGCCACAAGCAGUUUGUACUCGUUAUGGCUUCACUGUUGGAGCAGCAAUGGCUCCUCUUGUCCGUGUUCUUCUUUUGCUGUUCUUUCCAAUAUCUUAUCCAGUUAGUAAGGAAGCUGAGGCUGCUAAAUAGGUCUUCAACUUUAUCAUGACAAUCUCAAUCUGCAAACGUUUUCUUGUGUCAAGAGGGGAUAUUGGGUGAAACUGAUGAGUAUGUCAAUAUCCACAACAGUUGAGGUGAUCGAGUUUCUCUCCUUUUACUUGCUUCCGUUGCAUCCAUAUAUGAAAUCUGCGGAGUAAAGGAAUUUCUCCCUCUGACAGGACGAAGGCUCUUUAUCUCAUUUUAGAUCGGUUUGUAAAAGAUGAAUUGGAACACCUUUGGCAUCAUCCAUUUUGUUUCGAGCAAAUUGAAGGAAUGUCUUGAUUUCUUGAUUCACUGCACUAUCCUUUAGUCACGAUGGAGUCAUCAACCAAGUAGCAAUAUCCCACAUGAAAUCCAAAGAUGACUACUCUUUACGUUUUCGGGAUGCAGGAUCAAGAUCAAUAUGCAUGCGUCUCAAAACAAGGCUCCCCAGCCAACGGCAGAGCCUCCGCCAACGACGCCACUGUCACAGGCACCGCAUCCCCAACAUCUCUGGUGUCCACAGGUCCAACACCAACCCUUUCCAUCUCGAGUGGCGCUUCCUUAACCAGCUCACCAACCACGACCACCUAGAGAUUUGUAGUUGUCUUCGUUGAUAUAUUAACAUCAGAACAGAGAUCAAUCAAGAUCCAAGGAUAUAUUUAGGGAUCAACUACCUACCUUGGAAGACAUCAGAGGUCGACCUGCUGUAAGCAACCACAAAGAUACAUUUGCACAGCUGCUCCUUGUUCCAUGAGCUUUAUUGCAUAACAGGAUUCUUGUGCUCGAGAUCAGAAAGUAAUGUAAGAAACAUCUACCAAAACAUUGUCUCUAGUUUUCAAAGAA